GAUGCUUCUGGGCUCCGCCGUGCCCGCUUGCUCGUUGCCUCGGCCGCCGCUGCCUCAAGCCGUCGCCGCGGGUGGCGACGGUGCGGAGCUGCUCCGGCUGGGCCCGCGGGGGGACCCCGGGCGCUGCAUGACUUUUUCGGUGCCCGAAAGUAAACAUGCCAUUAAGAUGGCGGCUGGAUGCGAGCCAGUAGGCAGAACUUCGGAUUUUGUAUCUAUGUGGCUGCGAGUGAUUGGUUGUGCAACUUUGGUAUAUAUAGACAUGCACGGGCGGGGGAGAGGGAGAUCCCAACAGCUACGCAGAAAUAAAGCUUGCUUCGCUGAGGUCUCCUGGUUGUUCUUGCUGGCGAGAGUGACAAGUGGUGCCGAAACCCGGGAAACUCGAAGCCUACACCGAGGAGUUCUCAGUGAACACAACGAUCCGGAUGCCCAAGUGCCUAUCUGGGUCCCAGAGCGACUGAUUAGAAGAAUCGAUCAACAUGGCCCGCCCCGUCCUGAUAGCGAUCCUGGCAACACCAGCAUCCCUUCAACAGAUGCACCAAUGGGCAAUAGUGAAAGCCUGGCCAUUCCCCAUGCCACUGACGAAUGAGUCCACCAUCCUCCCUCCUGUAUACCUACUUUCAUUCCCAUGCCUGUUUCUGUAAAUCCUAACAAUUCGCCUGUAUUGCUCUCAAGACAUAAAAGAGACUUUGGGAUCACUGCAGCCAUUAUUGCGGCUGUAGCAGCCUCCGCAGCUGCAGCAACUGCAGUGGCUGUAGCUCUCACCACAUCUGUAACAAGUGGACAUUCUCCAGAAACUAUUGACGACCGGAUGCAUCCAAUCACUUUCUGGACUUUGCAUAACCUCCGUGGCCUAUAAUGACCUUUCUAUUGCUGCUAAUCUGUCGAAAGAGUUAAGCAGAUGAGAUUGACAUAGCUCCAUUAUGGGAUUGGGUAUCUGUUGUAAAUCCUUAUGUUCCGCCGUUUUGCAUCAUUACGUAAAGAACAAUGUAGGCAACAGUUGGCGCUAGUACAAGCUUGCAUGGCACUGGAAGCUGGUACAUUUCCCCAAAUCUGGCUGGCAGCACUAGAUCGGUAGUCAAUGACGGGUAAGAUUGGCUGCAUGCACAUAGCAACCUAAGCCAGGAGUUCUCCAACCAGGGAGAAUUAUCCAAUGACGGGUAAGCAUGUUCAUGGCAGCUGACAACCUAAGACAGGCAUGAUCUUCUGCCUUGCAUGCCUAAUAUAAAAGAAAAGGGGAUGUCAUUGCUCGAGCGGCUUGUAGCGCGUGCACAGUGAUGCUUCUGGGCUCCGCCGUGCCCGC
rnacentral:lncRNA from 1 species